rnacentral:tRNA from 1 species
GAUAUAUGGGUUCAGUGGUAGAAUUCUCGCCUUCCAUGCGGGAGACCUGGGUUUGACUCCCAGUUAAUGCA